CAGGAGGACCGGGCGGUCGCUGCCGGGGGCAAGACGCCAAAAGCGCCACCGCUUCCGGGGGAGGAAAGUCCGAACUCCGCAGGGCAGUGUGCCGGAUAACGUCCGGGACGCGGAUUCGCGAGGGUCCGUGGACGGCCAGUGCCACAGAAAAUAUACCGCCCGAGCCAACCCUCUUCGGAGGACGUCCCGGAAGGCCGUUUGGCCAUCCGCGCUCGGGUAAGGGUGAAAAGGUGCGGUAAGAGCGCACCGCUCCAGCGGUAACGCUGGAGGCAGGGUAAACCCCACACGGAGCAAGACCAAAUAGGGAGGGAAGCGGGAGCCAAGAGCCAGGCUUCUGCUGCGCAUCUGCCCGAUGCGACAAGGCGGCUCGAGCAAUUGCCGAAACCUCCGGGUAGGUUGCUGAUGAGUGUCCGCGGCAACGCGGCGCCUAGAGGAAUGACCGCACUACGACAAAAUUCGGCUUACAGGUCCUUCUG
rnacentral:RNase_P_RNA from 1 species